GUUUCUGGGUCAGCUGACUAGAAGCUUUGAAUUAAAAAUGGAGAGAGAUAUUUGAUCUCUCUAAGGUGUUGACUUCACCCCUAAUGGAACUGGAUGACUUUGUCAUGUGUUACUUCUGAUGCUUAGUGUUUAGCGCUGCCAUCACACUCCCCCCAAAGACUAUGUGAACUACAAGAAACCCCUACUGUGACUGCUUUGUGCCACGUCGUGUUAGACACUGGUUAGGAUGAAACAAUGGAUCCAACACAAUCCAAACCUUAAGAAGUUCAAAAAUACUGGCAAGAGAGACACAUAUAUAUCUAUAAAUCAUUAUUCUACCGGUAUUACAUGUCUAAAAAGAAGGAUAUGAACAAAUACCAUGGGAGCCAUUAGCUUAUGGAUUGAUGUGAGGGAUCUGCCUAAUUGGGAAUUAACGAUUUGAAACAAUGUGAGAAAGUCAAACUGUCUAGUACUGAUGGUAUAUGCCUUGGUGGCAGCAAUUAGAAUGGGAAAAUGUCUAAGAAAGGAAUGCUGGCAUAGGAAACUGGUUGGGAUUUCCAAGGCUACACAAAGCUCUGUCUCUGCAUUCAGAAAUAUAGGUGUUGGAUAAAUCGUAUCCUAGAAAGGUUGAAGUGAGCCUCAUCCUAGAAAAUGUACAGAAGUUUAUCAGCUGGAAAUUUCCACUUGUUCCUAGGAGAGGCUGAGGUUUUAAGAGGGGCCAGUGUUGUUGUGGCUUUUUGGCUCUUGCCAGGGGUGCUGAGGUUCUAAUCCUGUCUCUGAGGGAGGAGUGGUUGGGCUUCCCAACUGGAUUUCACAAAUUCGGAAGAUAAGUGAAUUUUUCAUCUAAAUAAGACAGGGUGUAUUUGAGUGCCAAAUCUUCUUCCACUGGCUGAAUUUCUGUUUGUAUAAACAGGGCCUGAAUGCAAAGAUUCACCUCAAGGAAAUAAAAAUUAUGUAUGCUUUCCCUGUCCUCCCAUCCUCUCCUGAACUUAGGUAACUUCCAGAAUAUUCAUGUUUUGGGUAUUUGUAUAUGCUAUAGUUAUGGACUGAAUUUUGUCCUUUCAAAAUUCAUAAGUCAAAGCCUUAACCUCCAAUUGACUUGACCUAGAGAUAGGGCCCUUAAAGUGGUCAUAAAGGUUAAGUGAGGGAAUAAGGGUGAGGCUCCAAUCCAGUAUGACUGGUGUUCUUAAUAAAAGAGGAAAAAAACAACCAGAGAUGCAGCUACAUGGAAAAGAAACAUGUGCACAGCAAAAAGGUAGCCUUCUGCAAGGUAAGGAGAAAGGCUUUUGGGGAAACCAAAUGUUCUGACAUUUUGAUCUUGGACUUUCAGUCUCUAGAACUGCUGAGAAGUACAUUUCCAUGGUUUAAGCCAUUCAGUCUGUGGUAUUGUUAUGGCAGUUCUAAAAGACUAACAUGAUUAUUGACAAAUCCUCCUAGGGAUUUGAUUUGUGAGCCUGAGUCAAUGACAGUUUAAAUGGAACUCACAAUCUGGGCCAAAGCAGCAAUGAAAGUCCUUAAGAAAUGAUUCUCCUGUCCUUCUCAUUAAGCAGUGUUUAGCAUACCCAUAGUAUAAAGCUAGUCAUUUAUGCAGAGCAAAUUUUUCACUCAGACUUCUACUUAUUCAACAGAUAUUCAUUGAGUGCCUACUGUAUGCUGGUUGCUCAGAUGAUGAUCAGAAGGAGUUGCCAGUCUAGAAGAGAAACUGUAACAAGCAAAUAAAAUACUUUCAUUUGUGAAAUGCCAAGUGCAAGCCAAAGUAAAUGGAUUCAUUGCAACUAGAUAGCAGGGAAGAUUCCUGGUGGAGGUGACACUGAAAGAGGGCUUUGGAGGAUAGAUAGGAUAUGUCAUGCAAGGUUGGGCAAUGGCAGAAGGACAGUUGAAGAGUGGAAAGAAUAGUGAACAAAGGCUUAGAGGUAGAAACCCUGGGCAGUUUAUGGGGAGAUAUGCAUUUUGAUGCAGAGUAUGCAAAGGAAAAUUUCCCUUCAUGAGGCUGUGCUGUCUCAGACUCGGAGGGCUUCCUUCAUAAAGGAGUGGUGGUGCACCAGGCACUGUCCUUCACAGUUCAUUAUGCUAACUCAUCCACACUCAUAAUAAUAACCUUACAAGGUAGGUGCUAUGAUUAUGCCAGUUUAUAGAUGGGGAAACUGAGGCAUGGAUGAGUCCAAUUACUUGCCAAUCACUAGUAAAUGGUGGAGCUGGUGUUUGAACCUAGGCAUCCUGGCUCCAGAGUUCCUGCUGAUUAAAAGAGGGCUGAGCAUCUAAACCAAAGUAAGAGGGAGGAAAAUAUUGGAUGUCUAUAGAUCUGCAGAUGGGGCAAGAAACAGAGCUUUGAGAUAGUAGGCAACUUGUAUUUCCUUGAGUAAAGAGAAAGGCAGAGCUCCUGCCUCCAGUAACUGUGAGGGAGAUCGCAGUGCCCUUGGCCAUCUUCCUCCAAGUUAGCCACGUUUGCAGCCAUUCGUGGAGAUAAAUCCUCGGUACAGGGGAACAAAAGUGUUUUUCAGGCUGCUGUGGUUAGCCUAGGACAGGGUUAUGAAAGGAGCUUUUCUGCGUCUGCUGCCUUCCGGGGUUACAUUCUUAGUGAAUCUACUGCCUCAAAAUGGAGCUUGUUAGUUGCGUGUCAUCCAAGGGUGGCAAUUAGUUGCAUGUGUUUGGUUGGGUGCCAGCUCCCGGGGUGCCAGACCUCAGUGGGGGAGCCACUGUUUGUCAUGAAUUAGUCUUUAAAUAAAAGCAAGUUUUUAAAAUGGAGCAUGCUAAUUUGGGUUUUGCUAACCCCCUCUGAAGAAGGCUUGGCCUGUUCGGUGCCAGCUGGCUGAGUUGGCAUUCAGAGAGAAAUUAGGCCCCUACCAAAAAUCACAUUGCUCCUCUCUCCCCCUUUGAGAACAAAAUGGCAGUGAGGAGCUAGUUGGCCCUGAGAAACAAGGUGAAACAAGGGGCAGGGGCAACACAGUAAUCUAUGAUUAAAGGGAACUGAACUGCCUUGGUUAAACCUGCUUCUCUUGCCACCUUAAGAAGGAAAGUCCGCCCCUUUCUUUCCCCACUCACGCUGUCCUCAGCCACCCAUUCAGUAACUUUCCACAUAAAAGGCUUCCUCAUCCAAUUGCUUAUACACUGCACCUUUUAUACUCUUCCAAGUCAUACUUAAGGGAUUAUCACUGCAGCUUUUAACUUCCCCGAGAAAGAGCUGAAUGAGCGUGAAUGGGGCGGAAGAGUCUUCAGUGAGAAAGUGUCCCCCACCCCAAAAUGCUCACAAAACCCCUAAUCACGACGUAAGAAUGCCAUCCUGUUUUUGGCGGCGGCUGGCUACAAAUGCUCUAAUCAACAAUUACCGUACAUAUAGGCGAUAAUUACAGGAGUCCUAUUGCACACACAACUCAUGGUAAUAGAACGCGAGGCACUGCGGAGCCUUGGUUGCCUUACUAUGGCGCUUUUACACACGAAGAAUGAUCCCUCCGAUCAAGGUUUUGAUUCUUGGAACUCAGCACUUUGCCCAAUAAGUGCUAAUUGAAAGAUUUGUUUUCUUACACUUUCCAGGUGGAUAAUCUGAUCUUGAGAAGUGGCGACUGUCAUGCAAUCAACAGUAGAAAAUAGGAACUCUCUGCCUUUUUUUAAUUAUCUAUUUCGGUUUUGUUUUGCAAACAUCCCUUUGUCUGCAAAAAGGUUUGCUCAGUAUUGGAAGAGGAGUCUCGUACAAAGGCAAGACAGAAAAGGAAUUUAAAUAAGCUUUACAUUUGUUCUGAAGAUUCAGGAAAGAUGGAAGCUUUUCUCAAUAUGAAUGUAUUUGUGCAGCAGAUUGCUGAGAAAUAUGAGUCGUCCUGGUUACUAAUGUAGUGUACAUUAAAUUUCGUAGAGUGAGGUUUUUUUUUUUUUCAAAAAAUAAACCAUGUUUAUUUGAUGCCAAUGCCUCUGUUAUUGUGAAUGCAGCAUAUUAAGUUUACUAAUAAACUGACACCCCAUUCCUGAGAGAUACGGCCUGAAAGCCUUCCUGACAGGUCAGGAAUUUGUUUGUUUACAAACACUAAGGCAAAACUGACAAUGAGGACAUUUUGAAUGCUUGAGUACCAUAAAUAGUUUUAGGGGGGAAUCUCAUUUUUCAAGGCAAUGCAUUCUGCAGUUUCACUUGAUAUUUUGGGUCUCGGCAGGACAGUGUGUUUCUUUUAAGAAUAAGAGCCCAUAAUGAGCCCAUGGGCCUUUAAUUUAUGAUGUAUCUGACAGGAUUGCAGUGAAUCUGAUAGGGGAUGCAUAUGAUUAUGUCUGCAAACUGAAAAUAAACCAGCUAGUAUUUGUUCUGAAAACAUUCUGAGAGCACCCUCCUGUUAAUGGCCCAUGGCUUGAUCCAGCAUCUGGUAAACUAAUAUAUUGUCAUUUUUACCAUGAAAGUCAGCACAAAUCAUUAAUGACUCCAGCAGCCAUUUAUGUUCUUCUCUUGUCUAGAAUAUGCCAAUUACCAUGAAAUUAUUCCUAUUAGUAGCAUGAUUGAAUGAUAGUAACCUGACUGUAACUUGUUGGCAGAAAUUCUUUCAUAAUGACAAUAAUGGACUGUGCAUUUGAGUCUUUGCUGGGCUCUGUUGAAAAGGAAGUGUGGAUAUGAUAUGUUUCUAACCAUCAUGAACAAUACUUCUUAAUGACUGCGUGAAUUGAGGGAAAUGUGCUAUCUUGCAGAUUUGUUUCAAUGUGAGAACUUAUCAUUUUUGUUUAAUUUGUUGGGGGUAGGCAUCACUGUUUUCCUUUUAAAAUAAUGUUCAGGGACCACUUUGCAGUAUGCAUACAUUAUGAUCAAGACCAGUAUAUAGAACCUAGUAGAGUUUAUCAUUGUUUUCAUCAUAGACAAUACCUGAAUCUUUAAAUAUCUCACAUCUAACCAUCACUAAGAAUGAAUAUCACUGCCAGUGACUAAGAAAAGUACAGAGCACUUGAUACUGCCAUGAGAUUGACAAGUUAAUUAUCUUUUUUCUUUCACCUAAUCUUGAUCUAUAAGGCCUUAUGACCUGACUAACAAAAAUGCACGUAGUCCAAGGCAUGUAAUAAGAGGAGUGGUAAUAAGGGCUAUACUAUAGCUCCAUGAAAAUUCCUGGUGACACAAGAGAAGAACAGAUUAGCCAUUAGCCAUUUGGAUCAUUCUCCAAAGAUCUGAGGAAGUGAAUUAAUGUAUUAUGUACUUCUUGUGGCCCACCUCAUAUCGUUUUGUCUCACUUUUUACUCAGGCCACUCCUGUGGGAAUUAGCUUAGGGCAGGUGUGACCUGAAGCCUCUUGCCUAAGCUGCACUAGGUAUCCCCAUUUUCUGCCCUAGAGCAUCUCUGACGCUUUUUGUGAGCCUGGCAGCCUGGAAUUCCAAGUGAGUAAUCUCUGACUAGUGGGGCAUGGGAACUGGUGAAGAAAUACUGUCCUCUUCCAUACUUUGUUUCCACUUUUCAUAAACAUCUGAAGCACAGAAGGUUUCUUAGAGAGUUCCAGCCUGAAUGAGGCCCAGUUGCCCAGAGUGGUAAUCAACUUGAGACUAUCCCCCUUUAUUACAUUCCCUUCCACAUAGGAUGAUGUUGGAGCCCCACCAAGAUCCACUUUACUGAGUCAGCACACAAUAGCCCAGCAGCUUAGAGUGUUGGAUGCUAAAGUCUCACAGAUGAACCCUUCUCACGGGAAUUACCCUCCACUGAAAGGAGCCAUCUUCCCCAGAAAUACCCACAAAAUUCUUCAGUCUUGAUAAAGGGCAAUCCAUAGCAGUGACUAACUGAAACUGUCAAGGUGGGAUGAUCCUGUGGUGCCAUUCACACUCCAGAACUCUUUGUGAGAUCUGGCCAAGGCUAGACUUCAACUAAAGCCACAGAUUUUCCUAGCUUCUUCUCUGGCCCACCCCACUUCCUUGUUUCCUCAUAGUUUUUACCUGAGGACACUCCUUGAAUCAAUUACUUGCAUAAGAAUGCCCCUUUCAGGCUCUACUUCUAGGGAACCCAAUUUGAGAUACAUUUCUUCUAUCCCCUAAUCCUAUAAUCUAGGGUCCUUUCUCCAAAUAAACUACCUGCUUGUAAACCUUUGUUUUAGGCUCUGCGUUAUAGGGAGGGGUAUUGGAGCAGAGUAGGGAACCCAGGCUAUGACAGUGAAUGAUAUCAUUGUAUUUUGAGGCUUCACUCUGUGCUGCCCACUGGAUUAAGUGCACAUGGUCCCUGCUAAGUGCCCUAUUGAGGGAAUUUAGAUUUACAAAAAAUUAGGCACCGUAAUAUUAUACUAACACUUUAGUGAAUGAUUCAGACAAUAAGUGCAGAAGUUGAGAGACCUAUCAUGUGGGGCUAUAGAGGGUAGCAAAGGCUUGUUGGAAGAGGUAUUACUUGAAUCCAUUAGAGGAACAUUUGGAAGGCAGAGAGAGGAGGCAGAUGGAAAUUCAGCUUGGAGACAUCAUGAGUAAGGGCUCAAUUUUCAAGUAUGCUUGAAAAUUGUUAAUUCAAGGGACCCCGUCAUUGCCAUCCCUGCAGGAAUGUAGGCUUCAUGCCAAAGGUGUUGCGUAUGUCCAGAAUGUGCUUUUAUUUGUUUGUUCCAUAGAUACCUUUUCAAUAACUACCACUUCCAGGCAUUAUGGUGGGCCCUGGAAGUGAUAAAAUAGAAAUUGCCCCUGCUCUAAAAGAACUUGCAUAAGAAAGCAAAUGCACAAACAAACAGGUAAACACAUAUAAUUACAGUUUUUAUUCUAAGGCUUUGAAGGAAAUGGAUGGGGUGCAGUGAUAGAAAAUAAGGGUUAUGUAUGUUAGAUCAGGUGGAUCAGGAAAUAAUCUCUGAGAAGCUCUUUAAUCAGAGUGGUUUUUAAUGGAAGAAAGAAGUUCCCUGGUAGUCUAGUGAUUAGGAUUUGGUGCCUUCACCACUGUAGCCUGGGUUCAAUCCCUGAUGGGAACUGAGAUCCUAUAUCAAGCUGCUGUAUGCAGUG
rnacentral:lncRNA from 1 species